rnacentral:tRNA from 1 species
UGGGUUGUAGCUCAGUGGUAGAGUGCUUGCCUUGCAUGCCUGAGGCACUGGGUUUAUCCUAGCAACACAU